ACAAUGAUGGUGUUUGAAGUGAAGAAAUUUUUGUUUUAAAAAUCCCUGUAGAUAAUAUAUACCAGAAAAAUAUGAAAGCAUAAGAUAUAUAUAUAAAGAACAAGCCAAAGGAGAAGAGAAGAGUCGAGUACAAGGUAGCUAACAAUUGUUCCAGGAGAUAUUAUACCCCGGGAUAUCUCGAGAGUCUGCGCGCGAGAAAAGGAAUGAUGAUACAUAGAACUCUUACUCGAGGGUGUGGUUUUAUUCAAUAUCAUUGGGUAUCGAUUACUUGUCGUCAGCACACGCCCUUAACUGCCCUUUUACCAUCCACCUUCUAUUCAACGAAUGAUAAAUUUUCAAACAAUGCAUCGAAGAUCCAAGGCUCCAGCGACGGCUGAUUUACCCAAAGUGCAGAAACAGAGUGGGAACAAGUCCAUCAGGAAAUGUUCUUGGAAAGAAUGCGGUAGCUUUGAUCCUCCCGACCACGGCAAUCAGCACUAGCAGAAGCAAAAGCGAGAGACUAUCCGUGGCCUGCAAGAACACAGAGUCUUUCAUCUUUUGCUCUAUCACGUAUCCCAAGGCAGAGCUGUCCUCUUCUUCUGAUGAAAAUGCAAAAUUCCACGGAAAAUUGAGGCGUCUUUUUAUUGGGAAAGCAAACUUUCGAGAAGCAUGCUCGGCAUUUUCCCAACUACCCUCAUUUACCCCCACCAAAAUCGGAUGUGACCCGGGAAAACUUGUUGCUCGCAAAUCGAAAAUGUCAGACAGUGGACGGGCGAGCAGGCAGACAGAAGCUGUGCCAGCUGUAAUCCCCAGUGCUACGGUAACCGUAUAUACGCAAGCUUCGUAUACAAUACAUUGCUUUUAUCUGUAUAUAUGUAUGUAUAAUAAUAUCUGUUAAAUAAAGGAGUGUGCGCUCGAGUGGGUGUUUAUGUGGACUGCGGAUUGGAUGCUGGAUCGAGAAAAUGGGAAAAAUUAAACGCCCGAAGGAUGAAUUUCCCUCAUGACUAGGCGCUCAUAAGCUCCAGAAAUAACUCCAGCGGGAUUUACAUUUUCCUGGCCAUUUUGCAUAAUCAAGCUUUAAUAUACUCCGACACAAAACAAUAUUCUUCAGUUUAUUCAUAGAUUUUUAAUAUAAAAUUCAACUGUCUCUUCAAGUGAAAAAAUUAUUUCUUCUUUUAAUUUUGCUCAUGAUCAAGCUUUAAUAUACUUCUCCCACACAAAACAAUACUCUCCACUCUGAAAAAAAAAUUAACUUGAAUCAAGAGAAAAUUUCUUGAACCAAGAAAAUAAUUUUGA